rnacentral:rRNA from 1 species
UGCGUAGGUGGUUGUUUAAGUCUGUUGUGAAAGCCCUGGGCUCAACCUGGGAACUGCCUUUGAUACUGGGUAUCUUGAGUAUGGAAGAGGUAAGUGGAAUUCCGAGUGUAGAGGUGAAAUUCGUAGAUAUUCGGAGGAACACCAGUGGCGAAGGCGGCUUACUGGUCCAUUACUGACGCUGAGGUGCGAAAGCGUGGGGAGCAAACA